UGCCACAGGCAUAUCACCCUGCAGCCCAAGACUGGUUGCCCACUGAAGCUAAGCAGGGUUGAGCCUGGUCAGUAUCUGGAUGGGAGACCUCCUGGGAAAACUAGGUUGCUGUUGGAA
rnacentral:rRNA from 1 species